GGAAGUGGGAAGGGGUGGAUGAGGACAGAGGGCAGAAGUCAGGCAGGUGUCCUCUUCCCCCUCAUGGCUCCAUGUGUCCCCUCCCUAAGCCACGUGCUUAGAGGCCAACCUUCCUUGACAGGGGACGAUGGGUCAAUCAAGGGUGUGCAAGUAGCUGUGGUCCUCCAUAAGAACGUCCAAAUAACUCUCAAAGGACAGCACAGCAGGGUAAAAGAUGCAAACUUGCCGGGCGGUGGUGGCGCACGCCUUU
rnacentral:snRNA from 1 species